CCUACGGGAGGCAGCAGUGAGGAAUAUUGGUCAAUGGCCGGGAGGCUGAACCAGCCAAGUCGCGUGAGGGAAGACGGCCCUACGGGUUGUAAACCUCUUUUGUCAGGGAGUAAGGUGCAGGUCGGGACCUGCUGUGAGAGUACCUGAAGAAAAAGCAUCGGCUAACUCCGUGCCAGCAGCCGCGGUAAUACGGAGGAUGCGAGCGUUAUCCGGAUUUAUUGGGUUUAAAGGGUGCGUAGGCGGGAUGCCAAGUCAGCGGUAAAAAUGCGGUGCUCAACGCCGUCGAGCCGUUGAAACUGGCGUUCUUGAGUGGGCGAGAAGUAUGCGGAAUGCGUGGUGUAGCGGUGAAAUGCAUAGAUAUCACGCAGAACUCCGAUUGCGAAGGCAGCAUACCGGCGCCCUACUGACGCUGAGGCUCGAAAGCGUGGGGAGCAAACAGGAUUAGAUACCCGUGUAGUC
rnacentral:rRNA from 1 species